UCUUAGGGGGAAAUUAGAAAAAGUCCCUUGAAAUUAAGAUGUGAAAAUUUUAAUUUUUUUAUCACUUGAGUAACUAAAACCAUACAAUAUCAAAGAACAUCUUUUGGUUACUCUGCAACUUAAAUCAAUCAUUUUCUGUUCGCUUUUGGUAAAACCUUCCAUGCAUGGUAAGAGUGUCUUUCCUGCCUCAGUUUUCUUAUCUGUAAAAUGAGAGUAUUAGACUUGGUCAUUGAGGUCCAGGUUCCAACCAACAGCUUACUUAGGCGGGAGCUGUUGUGCAUGUUACCUCAUUAAUCCCCAGAGUCACCCUCAGAUAUGCUGUAAAUCCGCUAAUGACUUCCAUGUUUUAUGACCUUAUUAGUCUUCCUCUUAACAUUAUCUUUAUUUGUUGCCAUAGAGAAGCCUGACUUUCAUCCAGAAAGUCAAAUUUAACUGAAAAAUUCCAGAAGUUAAAUUUAGAAACGUGUUGUCCUCGCUAGUCUUUCACUUUCAGCCUGAACAAAGAUCACUUCUUCAGCUAUAGUCCUUUGAGAGGUGUGAGAAUGGUGAGUUAUCAGGGCUGUUACAGCACAGUCAGGAAAUGUAAACAGAUUCAUAUGAUAAGCCAAUUAAUUAUUCUCUUAUUAAGACUGCCCAGUUACUUCAGAUGAAAGAUAUUUUCUGAGAUUUGCAGGAACUUGAAUUGAAAAGAGACACCACUUGUUAAGAACACGGUUGUGUUUUUAUAUAGAAUCAAAGACAGUCCAAAAUCAUUGACAUAAUAAGAACAUUUUACAGAAGUUUUAGUGGCUGGGUUUUUUAGUUGUAAAGUUCUUAAUUUCUUGGUAUAUGAAGGUAGUUCCAUGAACACUCAGAUUGCUAAUACUGUGGAAUUUAUGAUGUGUUGUUUACAUUUGAUAAGGUGUCUGUGUUGAAUGGAACAGAAUGAUUUUUAGAAACAGGUGAGCCUUCAGAAGCUUAAGGGAGAAAAGAUGAAGACAUUAAGCAAGAAUACAUUGAUUUAACCCAGAGGAUUUACUUUUUUGGAAAAACAAAAUUGAUAAAAAUGAACUCACUGUGGUGUCACUAGUUAGAAUAUGUUUAGAGUUAAUUAGUGCGUGUGUUACAAGUCCAGAGACAUUUGUGAAAUGUCAGAAAUAUUUGCAUUUUACUGACAAUGUUGAAUUAAAAAAAAAAGACAAUCAGCAUUCACAGUUGUUAGCAUUUAGUGUCCAUCAUUUUCCUUAAGGAUUUACCUUUUACAGUACUACAAGUAGACUUUUCACCACAAAUUUUAUGAGCUCCGUGCCAAAUGUGAAGAAUGAAAUUUGAUCAAUGGUGAUGUUUGUAUAAUGAUAAGUUUUUCAUAGUUAUUUGUAUGAUGGUAUAACCUUACUUAUGAUUCUCUAUAUUUAAAAAUAAUUUACUUUAAAUAUUUUUAAUUAAGAUNNNNNNNNNNNNNNNNNNNNNNNNNNNNNNNNNNNNNNNNNNNNNNNNNNNNNNNNNNNNNNNNNNNNNNNNNNNNNNNNNNNNNNNNNNNNNNNNNNNUCUAUAUUUAAAAAUAAUUUACUUUAAAUAUUUUUAAUUAAGAUAUUUUUACGAAUGUUUCAGAGAGAAUAUUUUUGGUUGAUUGCUGUUUAUUUUUUGUCAGCACUUUUUGUGCUUUCUAUAUUUUAAGGACAUAUGUGAGUUUUGAUUCUAAGUUCAGAGAAAGUACUGGUAUCCCUCUAGUAUUAAUUGGUAAGCUGCAGAGAUGAAUGCCACAAAUCAUAUUUUAUUGUUAUAAAAGCAAGAUCAACUAGUCGCAUAAUAUUGAGUCUGAAAUGUAACUUCAGACCAAAAAAGUCAUUCAGAUACGUUGUCCUUUUCUUAAUCCGUAAUGCCUGUCUUAUCAUUAUAGAGUAAAAUAGAGUGAGGGCAAGGCAUGAUAUGGCUGGAGAUAGAGCAGUUGCUUAGAUUAUCUCUGUGUCAUUCCAAGUGGGAUUUGUCUGGUUAUUUUUCCUGGUAAAUUAUCUAAAAAUAGUUGUUUUAGUAAUGUAGACAUGACCUUAAAAUAAAAUUUAACUAAAUAGGAACUAUUUCAGCAACAGUCAGUUUUCACUCCAAAUUUAAAAUUAGAAUUGGAAAACCAAUGUGGAUUCAAAUUCAGUUCAACAAACAUUUAUCAGGCAUUGAUACUGUAGGGAAUUAGGCCAGGUAGUGAUUAAUGAAGAUGACAAAGCAUGGUCUCUGUGCUUGUAGUCUUCAGUAGAGGUGAGAGAAGUUCAGGAUAAGAGUGGUGACAGAGCUUUACCACUUCUUCCUGUUGAAUA
rnacentral:lncRNA from 1 species